rnacentral:snRNA from 20 species
AUCUUUGCGCUUGGGGGAAUGACGCAGUUAGUGAGGUGAAACCGAGCGUCAAUUGCUGGUUGAAAACUGUAUUUAAAGAUAAUUAAAUUAAACAUCAAACUUUCUUCCUCUCUUAUGUGUGGAAAAUGAGCAGUUUGAACUUAACAAGGGGGAGAAAAGCUUUUCCAUCUAUUUAUUCAA